rnacentral:tRNA from 1 species
GUGCUUGUAGCUCAGUCGAUAGAGCGUGGCCCUCCGGAGGCUAAGGUCGCAUGUUCAAUUCAUGCCAAGCACUCCA